AUGCCGAUACCACCGCCCCCGCCCCCUCCUCCGCCGCCGGAGCCCCCGCAGCUCCACGGCGUGGUCAUCAUCACCCUCCCGCCCCCCGACCAGCCCUCCAAGGGCAAGACCAUCACCGCCUUCACCUACACCGACGAGCCGGGCGCUGGCGCUCCGGCCCUGCCGCCGCAUCGGGGGCCUCCGAUGGCUACCGCGGGGAGGGAGGCCAGGCGAUCGAGGCGGGCGGUCUCGCGGCGGGCGGGGGCGAUGGUCCUCGUGCUGGGCGCGCUCGCGCUCGCGGCCUACUACAGCUUCUACUCGGACGUGGCCGUGCAGUUCCUCGGGAUGGAGGAGGAGGAGGCGCAGAAGGAGCGGAACGAGACCAAGUCGUUCCUGUUCCAGCUCUACCCCAAGGCGCACCAGGGCCGCGCGCUGCGGGAAUUCGGCGACAUCAAGCUCGCCGCCAAGAGGGUCGAUGACGGCGGCGGCAGGAAGGUCACGAAGAAGCUGGAUGUCAAGGGGGCGACAUCGGCUGGGACGAACUCCACAGUUCUGCUCCCGAUCAAGGGCAAUGUGUUCCCCGAUGGGCAGUAUUACACAUCUAUCUUUGUUGGCAAUCCACCAAGACCUUAUUUCCUUGAUGUUGAUACUGGAAGCGAUUUAACAUGGAUUCAGUGUGACGCACCAUGCACAAACUGUGCCCAAGGACCUCAUCCUUUAUAUAAGCCAGCAAAAGAAAAGAUAGUCCCUCCCAGGGAUUUGCUAUGUCAAGAGUUGCAAGGCGAUCAGAACUACUGCGAAACUUGCAAGCAAUGUGACUAUGAGAUUGAAUAUGCCGAUAGAAGCUCGUCUAUGGGUGUUCUUGCGAAGGAUGAUAUGCAUCUAAUCGCUACAAAUGGUGGAAAGGAAAAGCUAGACUUUGUAUUUGGGUGUGCAUAUGAUCAGCAAGGCCAGCUUUUGUCCUCACCAGCAAAGACCGAUGGGAUUCUUGGUCUUAGCAGUGCAGCAAUAAGCCUUCCUAGUCAGCUGGCCAGCAAAGGAAUUAUUUCCAACAUUUUCGGUCAUUGUAUCACUAGAGAAACAAAUGGUGGGGGGUACAUGUUUCUGGGUGAUGAUUAUGUACCAAGAUGGGGAAUGACAUGGGCUCCUAUUCGAGGUGGUCCAGAUAACUUAUACCACACAGAGGCCCAGAAAGUAAAUUAUGGAGAUCAGGAGCUCAGUAUGCACGGGCACGCAGGAAAUUCUGUUCAAGUGAUUUUUGAUAGUGGGAGCUCGUAUACAUACCUUCCAGAGGAGAUGUAUAAAAACCUUAUUGAUGCUAUUAAAGAUGACUCUCCCAAUUUUGUCCAAGAUAGCUCAGAUACGACAUUACCUUUAUGCUGGAAAGCUGAUUUUUCUGUUAGGUCCUUCUUCAAGCCCUUGAACCUUCAUUUUGGGAGAAGAUGGUUUGUCGUGCCGAAAACAUUCACCAUUGUUCCCGAUGAUUACUUGAUCAUCAGUGAAAAGGGCAAUGUUUGUCUGGGGCUGCUAAAUGGAACAGAGAUCAAUCAUGGGUCAACCAUAAUAGUCGGAGAUGUUUCUCUGCGCGGCAAACUAGUUGUGCAUGACAAUGAGCGGAGGCAGAUCGGAUGGGCAAAUUCAGAGUGCACCAAGGCACAAUCACAGAAGGGCUUUCCCUUCUUCCUCUGA
rnacentral:rRNA from 1 species